rfam:Felis catus isolate Cinnamon breed Abyssinian chromosome A1, whole genome shotgun sequence.
GCCUGGGUGGCUCAGUCAGUGAAGUGUCCAACUUCAGCUCAGGUCAUGAUCCUAUGGUUCGUGGGUUCGAAUCCCACAUCAGGCU